AUACGUAGGUCCCGAGCGUUAUCCGGAUUUAUUGGGCGUAAAGCGAGCGCAGGCGGUUAGAUAAGUCUGAAGUUAAAGGCUGUGGCUUAACCAUAGUACGCUUUGGAAACUGUUUAACUUGAGUGCAGAAGGGGAGAGUGGAAUUCCAUGUGUAGCGGUGAAAUGCGUAGAUAUAUGGAGGAACACCGGUGGCGAAAGCGGCUCUCUGGUCUGUAACUGACGCUGAGGCUCGAAAGCGUGGG
rnacentral:rRNA from 1 species